UACGUAGGGUGCAAGCGUUGUCCGGAAUUAUUGGGCGUAAAGAGCUCGUAGGCGGUUUGUCGCGUCUGCUGUGAAAUUUCGGGGCUCAACCCCCGAACUUGCAGUGGGUACGGGCAGACUAGAGUGUGGUAGGGGGAGACUGGAAUUCCUGGUGUAGCGGUGAAAUGCGCAGAUAUCAGGAGGAACACCGAUGGCGAAGGCGGCGAUCUGGGUCGAUACUGACGCUGAGGUGCGAAAGCGUGGGGGAGCAAACAGG
rnacentral:rRNA from 1 species